UACAGAGGGUGCGAGCGUUGUCCGGAAUCACUGGGCGUAAAGGGCGCGCAGGCGGCUACGCACGUCCGUUGUGAAAUCGCUCGGCUCAACUGGGCGGGGUCAGCGGAUACGGCGUAGCUGGAGCAAGCUAGGGGGCAAUGGAAUUCCCGGUGUAGUGGUGGAAUGCGUAGAUAUCGGGAGGAACACCAGUGGCGAAGGCGGUUGCCUGGAGCUUUGCUGACGCUGAGGCGCGAAAGCGUGGGGAGCGAUCCGG
rnacentral:rRNA from 1 species